CCUAGUCAAAGGCCAGUGCUGUUCCCCCCAGGGGCUGGCCUGACACUCAUAUAUGCGAAUGAUAGGCACCCAGUAGGAGCUCAUUAAGUGCUGGAUUGAUUGCAGAGAAGCAGAGACUUUGUGAACAUCUGGAGAUGUCCAGUGGCUUUCAGCAAUGUUGAGAGGAACCCCUUCCCCUGCUCUCUGCCCCCACCCCCAUGCGGGCCUCAGCUCCUGGUUGAGUGUGGGGGUGACAGGGUAAGGAGUUCCACUUCCAGUUCUGCCCACUUCCUCUUUAACUGGAAUGCCGGGCCAGGUGACUGGGAAGUCAGCUUCUGGGGAGUGGAAGAGGAAACCCCAUCAUCGUGUCAUCCACGAAGGGAACACCAAGACCCGCGUGGGAAAGAGGUCAGAGAGGACCUGCCCGCCGGACGCCCAGUGGAGGCCCUCCUCACCACACCUCCAGCAGCUGUGGAGUCAGCAUCUGGCAAAGGACCUCUAAAAAGACCGACUUGUGAAAUAUUUUAGCACCGAAAGCCUUAAACAGGCAUUUUCAAUCUCCAUUUGGUUGUGUUUAUAAUAAAUUACCUUUGUUGCAAAGAAUAAAAUGAUCU
rnacentral:lncRNA from 12 species